GGGCACUGGGGCGGCGUCGUGCCUUGGGUCCAAAUAAGAUAAAGCCCUUUACUGGUUUUGCAGUAGUGGAGAAUUGUUAUGUUACACUGAGGAAUUGAUGUAUACAGUUGGCAGACAGAAAACAAGACGCUGGAGAUGAGGGGAUGAUUUAGAAUUGGUACGUCUUGAUACAUCUUCACCAUGUCUAGGAUUCAGAAUGCAGCUGGAAUAUGUAUCCACACUGAGGACCUUGAAAACACUUGGCAUCUUAAAACUCAGAUGACAAAGCCUACUGCUUCCUCUGUAUUCUUUGAUGUUACAGCUGAAUUUUCAUUAAAGGCACUCAUAUGCAUUGGAGAGAAGGAAGAGUGCAGCUGCCAUUAACAUUCCCAUUAAUCUGCAGGCAUUUGAAGUAAACAUUUCAUGGUCAUUUCUUCUCAUUGCUGUCAGUUUCGUGAAGUGUUAGAAAUGGAUGAAUCCAAGAGCACUGAAAAUCUGAAGAUCCCUACUGCAAGAUCCUUUAUAAUUUUCAUAUUAUUUACCUCUUUAGAAAUAUCUAUGACAUUCCUGUCAUGGAGAAGAUUAUCUGAAAACAAAACAAAACAAAAACGCAAAACAAUUAUACAACGGGUAUAUACAGGUUAUCUAUAUAUAAUCUGUAUGUAAACUGUUUAUAUAAAUUAUUGUGUAUAGAGUAUCCUUUCUUUCUAUGCAUAAUAAAAGCUGAACAGCUAAC
rnacentral:lncRNA from 7 species